rnacentral:misc_RNA from 1 species
UCUCCGUUGGUGAACCUGCGGAGGGAUCAUUACUGAGUGAGGGCUCACGCCCGACCUCCAACCCUUUGUGAACCAAACUUGUUGCUUCGGGGGCGACCCUGCCGUUCGCGGCGCGGCGCCCCCGGGGGAAAUCAAACACUGCGUCAAUUUGUGUCGGAGUACUAGUUAAUAAACAAAACUUUCAACAACGGAUCUCUUGGUUCUGGCAUCGAUGAAGAACGCAGC